UGGGAUGUAGUGCAAGUGGUAGCAUGCUUGAUUUGGGAUCAAGUGGUUGCAGGUUCGAGUCCUGUCAUUCCAA
rnacentral:tRNA from 1 species